rnacentral:tRNA from 1 species
GUCCCACUCGUACAGUGGUCAGUGCAUCGGUUUUUCACACCGAAGAGGAGAGUUCGAUUCUCUCGUGGGAUA